rnacentral:rRNA from 1 species
CGCUGGCGGCGUGCCUAAUACAUGCAAGUAGAACGCUGAAGAGAGGAGCUUGCUCUUCUUGGAUGAGUUGCGAACGGGUGAGUAACGCGUAGGUAACCUGCCUUGUAGCGGGGGAUAACUAUUGGAAACGAUAGCUAAUACCGCAUAACAAUGGAUGACACAUGUCAUUUAUUUGAAAGGGGCAAUUGCUCCACUACAAGAUGGACCUGCGUUGUAUUAGCUAGUAGGUGAGGUAAUGGCUCACCUAGGCGACGAUACAUAGCCGACCUGAGAGGGUGAUCGGCCACACUGGGACUGAGACACGGCCCAGACUCCUACGGGAGGCAGCAGUAGGGAAUCUUCGGCAAUGGGGGCAACCCUGACCGAGCAACGCCGCGUGAGUGAAGAAGGUUUUCGGAUCGUAAAGCUCUGUUGUAAGUCAAGAACGGGUGUGAGAGUGGAAAGUUCACACUGUGACGGUAGCUUACCAGAAAGGGACGGCUAACUACGUGCCAGCAGCCGCGGUAAUACGUAGGUCCCGAGCGUUGUCCGGAUUUAUUGGGCGUAAAGCGAGCGCAGGCGGUUUGAUAAGUCUGAAGUUAAAGGCUGUGGCUCAACCAUAGUUCGCUUUGGAAACUGUCAAACUUGAGUGCAGAAGGGGAGAGUGGAAUUCCAUGUGUAGCGGUGAAAUGCGUAGAUAUAUGGAGGAACACCGGUGGCGAAAGCGGCUCUCUGGUCUGUAACUGACGCUGAGGCUCGAAAGCGUGGGGAGCGAACAGGAUUAGAUACCCUGGUAGUCCACGCCGUAAACGAUGAGUGCUAGGUGUUGGAUCCUUUCCGGGAUUCAGUGCCGCAGCUAACGCAUUAAGCACUCCGCCUGGGGAGUACGACCGCAAGGUUGAAACUCAAAGGAAUUGACGGGGGCCCGCACAAGCGGUGGAGCAUGUGGUUUAAUUCGAAGCAACGCGAAGAACCUUACCAGGUCUUGACAUCCCGAUGCUAUUUCUAGAGAUAGAAAGUUACUUCGGUACAUCGGUGACAGGUGGUGCAUGGUUGUCGUCAGCUCGUGUCGUGAGAUGUUGGGUUAAGUCCCGCAACGAGCGCAACCCCUAUUGUUAGUUGCCAUCAUUCAGUUGGGCACUCUAGCGAGACUGCCGGUAAUAAACCGGAGGAAGGUGGGGAUGACGUCAAAUCAUCAUGCCCCUUAUGACCUGGGCUACACACGUGCUACAAUGGUUGGUACAACGAGUUGCGAGUCGGUGACGGCGAGCUAAUCUCUUAAAGCCAAUCUCAGUUCGGAUUGUAGGCUGCAACUCGCCUACAUGAAGUCGGAAUCGCUAGUAAUCGCGGAUCAGCACGCCGCGGUGAAUACGUUCCCGGGCCUUGUACACACCGCCCGUCACACCACGAGAGUUUGUAACACUCGAAGUCGGUGAGGUAACCUUUUGGAGCCAGCCGCCUAAGGUGGGACAGAUGAUUGGGGUGA